CAUGAGCAAACAUAUUAAUUUGUUUUUGAAAUUUAAAUUUGCGUGGGGUGUUACACCUUUCAGUAUAAAACUGUACCAAAAAUGCAUCUGAAAGCAUUCGUUCAUUGCAAGCAUUGCAAGAUAACUUUCAACAUGCGGAACUUCAUAUUCGUAUCAGUUCUGAUAGUUGCUACCGUAUCCGUGCAUGCUUUGCCUGAUGGACCACCAAAGGGAAAGUUUUUUGAAAACCUGAGAACAUGUCUAGGAAACAGAUGGGAAGAAGUGGCAACUCAAUUUACACCAGGCCAAAGACCAGACUUUGCUAAAAUAAUGAACGAUCCAAAUAAGGCGUGCAUUCCUGAAUGUGUCUUAAAGAAGUUCAAUGCAAUUGACGCACAGGGACAACUUAUUGUCGACAAAGUCAAGGAAAUGAAUAUGCCUGGAAAGCCUGAUGACUCAAAGAUUACAGCUUGCGUUGACAAGAAUAAAGAUGAAAAAGACAAGUGUGCCAGGUUGAUUGCUACUAGUGUUUGUCUUCUCAAAAGAGGCAAAGCUUAGUUUGGAAGAAUAUACUCGUAAGCCGACUAUAACAAACAUGAUUACAAAUAAAUACAUAUAAAAAAUAAUAAAUUAUAAAAACACUACAAA